UACGUAGGUGGCAAGCGUUGUCCGGAAUUAUUGGGCGUAAAGCGCGCGCAGGUGGUUCGUUAAGUCUGAUGUGAAAGCCCACGGCUCAACCGUGGAGGGUCAUUGGAAACUGGGGAACUUGAGUGCAGAAGAGGAAAGUGGAAUUCCAAGUGUAGCGGUGAAAUGCGUAGAGAUUUGGAGGAACACCAGUGGCGAAGGCGACUUUCUGGUCUGUAACUGACACUGAGGCGCGAAAGCGUGGGGAGCGAACAGG
rnacentral:rRNA from 1 species